rnacentral:rRNA from 1 species
GACGAACGCUGGCGGCGUGCUUAACACAUGCAAGUCGAACGGUGAAGGGGCCUGCUUUUGUGGGUCCUGGAUGAGUGGCGAACGGGUGAGUAACACGUGAGUAACCUGCCCCCUUCUUCUGGAUAACCGCAUGAAAGUGUGGCUAAUACGGGAUAUUCUGGGUCUGUCGCAUGGUGGGCCUGGGAAAGAUUGCGCCUUUUUUGGUGUUUUUGGUGGGGGAUGGGCUCGCGGCCUAUCAGCUUGUUGGUGGGGUGAUGGCCUACCAAGGCGGUGACGGGUAGCCGGCCUGAGAGGGUGGACGGUCACACUGGGACUGAGACACGGCCCAGACUCCUACGGGAGGCAGCAGUGGGGAAUAUUGCACAAUGGGCGCAAGCCUGAUGCAGCGACGCCGCGUGAGGGAUGGAGGCCUUCGGGUUGUGAACCUCUUUCGCCAGUGAAGCAGGCCUGCCUCGUUUGUGGG